CAACUGAACUGUAUUUAUCGAGCACUUUCAAACAGCCAUCGCUGCACACAAAGUGCUGUACAUGGAGCAACUAACAUAAACAACAGUAAAGCAACAAAUCGGUAGAAGAUGGUAGAAAGCACCGAACAGUAAAACCAAGAACAAAUCUAAGUCAUGCUGAGUCAAAUGCCAAAGAAUACAAGUGAGUUUUGAGGCGGGUUUUAAAGAUGGGCAGCGAGGAGGCUUGCCGAAUGUUCAGUGGGAGGUCAUUCCAGAGAGAGGGACCAGCAACAGAAAAGGCUCGAUCCCAUCUGAGCCUCAGUUUAGUUCUUGGUACUUCUAAUAAUGUCUGGUCCACAGACCUGAGGCGCCGGGCAGGUGUGUAGGGGCGGAUGAGCUCAGAGAGGUAAGGUGGCGCGAGAUUAUUCAGAGAUUUGAAAACAAAUAA